GAUGAAGAACGUAGCGAAAUGCGAUAAGUAGUGUGAAUUGCAGAAUUCAGUGAAUCAUCGAAUCUUUGAACGCACAUUGCGCCCUUUGGUAUUCCUUAGGGCAUGCCUGUUCGAGCGUCAUUUAAACCUUCAAGCUAAGCUUGGUGUUGGGUGACUGUCCGCUUCACGGCGGACUCGCCUCAAAAUUAUUGGCGGCCGGUACAUUGGCUUCGAGCGCAGCAGAAACGCGAACUCGGGCCCGUCGUAUUGGCUCCCAGAAGCUAUCUACACAAUUUUGACCUCGGAUCAGGUAGGGAUACCCGCUGAACUUAAGCAUAUCAAUAAGCGGAGGA
rnacentral:misc_RNA from 1 species